UCUCCUACGGGAGGCAGCAGGCGCGAAAACUUUACAAUGCGGGAAACCGUGAUAAGGGAAUCUCGAGUGCCAGCAUAUAAUGUUGGCUGUCCAGAUGCCUAAAAAGCAUCUGUUAGCAAGGGCCGGGCAAGACCGGUGCCAGCCGCCGCGGUAACACCGGCGGCCCGAGUGGUAACCGUUAUUAUUGGGUCUAAAGGGUCUGUAGCCGGCCAAGUAAGUCCCUUGGGAAAUCUGGCAGCUCAACUGUCAGGCUGCUAGGGGAUACUGUUUGGCUUGGGACCGGGAGAGGUGAGAGGUACCUUGGGGGUAGGGGUGAAAUCUUGUGAUCCUCGGGGGACCACCAGUGGCGAAGGCGUCUCACCAGAACGGGUCCGACGGUAAGGGACGAAAGCUAGGGGCACGAACCGGAUUAGAUACCCGGGUAGUCCUAGCCGUAAACGAUGCUCGCUAGGUGUCAGUCACGGUGCUGACCGUG
rnacentral:rRNA from 1 species